UUUCCGUAGGUGAACCUGCGGAAGGAUCAUUACCGAAUUGUCAAACGGGUUGUUGCUGGUCCUCAAACGGGGACAUGUGCACGCUCUGUUUACGCAUCCACUCACACCUGUGCACCCUCCGUAGUUCUAUGGUCUGGGGGACCCCGUCUUCCUGCCGUGGUUCUGCGUCUUUACACACACGCUGUAACAAAGUCUUAUGGAAUGUAUGCCGCGUCUAACGCAAUACAAUACAACUUUCAGCAACGGAUCUCUUGGCUCUC
rnacentral:misc_RNA from 1 species